UACGUAGGGUGCAAGCGUUAUCCGGAAUUAUUGGGCGUAAAGAGCUCGUAGGCGGUUUGUCGCGUCUGCUGUGAAAACCCGAGGCUCAACCUCGGGCCUGCAGUGGGUACGGGCAGACUAGAGUGCGGUAGGGGAGAUUGGAAUUCCUGGUGUAGCGGUGGAAUGCGCAGAUAUCGGGAAGAACACCCGUGGCGAAGGCGGCUCUCUGGGACGGUACUGACGCUGAGACGCGAAAGCGUGGGGAGCAAACGGG
rnacentral:rRNA from 1 species